rnacentral:lncRNA from 1 species
AAUACCCCACCCAUUCAGCACUGAGACAGCAAGAACUUACCCGAAAUCUUGAUCUUUUCAGUGGUUCUUAGAGCUCAAAACUGCUAGUUUUCCUCCUCCUUCUGUUCUUCAAGUUUGAGUUGUAAAGAGAGGAGAGAAAACAUCUGUAAGGGUUGUCUCCUAAGCCCGUCAAAAGGAGUGAAUCUGUAAGAAGGUAGUUGGCCUUCGCCUAUUGAAGGAAGGCCUCUAGUUGACGUCGGUAACCUCAUCGGUGGAGGAAGCCAAAAGUGGAGUAGGUCAAGACUGACCGAACCACUCUAAAUCUCUGGUUUGCGUUUAUUUUG